UACGAGGGGUGCAAGCGUUGUUCGGAAUUACUGGGCGUAAAGGGUGCGUAGGCGGUUUGACAAGUCUGAUGUGAAAUCUAUGGGCUCAACCCAUAGUCUGCAUUAGAAACUGUCGGGCUUGAGUAUGGGAGAGGUGAGUGGAAUUUCCGGUGUAGCGGUGAAAUGCGUAGAUAUCGGAAGGAACACCUGUGGCGAAAGCGGCUCACUGGACCAUUACUGACGCUGAUGCACGAAAGCGAGGGGAGCAAACAGG
rnacentral:rRNA from 1 species